rnacentral:rRNA from 1 species
GACGAACGUUGGCGGCGUGCUUAACACAUGCAAGUCGAACGGAAAGGCCCUGCUUUUGUGGGGUGCACGAGUGGCGAACGGGUGAGUAACACGUGAGUAACCUGCCCUUGACUUUGGGAUAACUUCAGGAAACUGGGGCUAAUACCGGAUAGGAGCUCCUGCUGCAUGGUGGGGGUUGGAAAGUUUCGGCGGUUGGGGAUGGACUCGCGGCUUAUCAGCUUGUUGGUGGGGUAGUGGCUUACCAAGGCUUUGACGGGUAGCCGGCCUGAGAGGGUGACCGGCCACAUUGGGACUGAGAUACGGCCCAGACUCCUACGGGAGGCAGCAGUGGGGAAUAUUGCACAAUGGGCGGAAGCCUGAUGCAGCAACGCCGCGUGCGGGAUGACGGCCUUCGGGUUGUAAACCGCUUUCGCCUGUGACGAAGCGUGAGUGACGGUAAUGGGUAAAGAAGCACCGGCUAACUACGUGCCAGCAGCCGCGGUGAUACGUAGGGUGCGAGCGUUGUCCGGAUUUAUUGGGCGUAAAGGGCUCGUAGGUGGUUGAUCGCGUCGGAAGUGUAAUCUUGGGGCUUAACCCUGAGCGUGCUUUCGAUACGGGUUGACUUGAGGAAGGUAGGGGAGAAUGGAAUUCCUGGUGGAGCGGUGGAAUGCGCAGAUAUCAGGAGGAACACCAGUGGCGAAGGCGGUUCUCUGGGCCUUUCCUGACGCUGAGGAGCGAAAGCGUGGGGAGCGAACAGGCUUAGAUACCCUGGUAGUCCACGCUGUAAACGGUGGGUACUAGGUGUGGGGUCCAUUCCACGGGUUCCGUGCCGUAGCUAACGCUUUAAGUACCCCGCCUGGGGAGUACGGCCGCAAGGCUAAAACUCAAAGGAAUUGACGGGGCCCCGCACAAGCGGCGGAGCAUGCGGAUUAAUUCGAUGCAACGCGUAGAACCUUACCUGGGUUUGACAUGGAUCGGGAGUGCUCAGAGAUGGGUGUGCCUCUUUUGGGGUCGGUUCACAGGUGGUGCAUGGCUGUCGUCAGCUCGUGUCGUGAGAUGUUGGGUUAAGUCCCGCAACGAGCGCAACCCUUGUUCACUGUUGCCAGCACGUUAUGGUGGGGACUCAGUGGAGACCGCCGGGGUCAACUCGGAGGAAGGUGGGGAUGACGUCAAGUCAUCAUGCCCCUUAUGUCCAGGGCUUCACGCAUGCUACAAUGGCUGGUACAGAGAGUGGCGAGCCUGUGAGGGUGAGCGAAUCUCGGAAAGCCGGUCUCAGUUCGGAUUGGGGUCUGCAACUCGACCUCAUGAAGUCGGAGUCGCUAGUAAUCGCAGAUCAGCAACGCUGCGGUGAAUACGUUCCCGGGGCU